ACACAUGCAAGUCGAGGGGCAGCAUGAACUUAGCUUGCUAAGUUUGAUGGCGACCGGCGCACGGGUGAGUAACGCGUAUCCAACCUGCCCUUUACUCGGGGAUAGCCUUCUGAAAGGAAGUUUAAUACCCGAUGAAUUCGUUUAGUCGCAUGGCUUGAUGAAGAAAGAUUUAUCAGUAAAGGAUGGGGAUGCGUCCCAUUAGCUUGUUGGCGGGGUAACGGCCCACCAAGGCGACGAUGGGUAGGGGUUCUGAGAGGAAGGUCCCCCACAUUGGAACUGAGACACGGUCCAAACUCCUACGGGAGGCAGCAGUGAGGAAUAUUGGUCAAUGGGCGCGAGCCUGAACCAGCCAAGUAGCGUGGAGGACGACGGCCCUACGGGUUGUAAACUCCUUUUAUAAGGGGAUAAAGUUGGCCAUGUAUGGCCAUUUGCAGGUACCUUAUGAAUAAGCAUCGGCUAAUUCCGUGCCAGCAGCCGCGGUAAUACGGAAGAUGCGAGCGUUAUCCGGAUUUAUUGGGUUUAAAGGGAGCGUAGGCGGGCAGUCAAGUCAGCGGUCAAAUGGCGCGGCUCAACCGCGUUCCGCCGUUGAAACUGGCAGCCUUGAGUAUGCACAGGGUACAUGGAAUUCGUGGUGUAGCGGUGAAAUGCUUAGAUAUCACGAGGAACUCCGAUCGCGCAGGCAUUGUACCGGGGCAUUACUGACGCUGAGGCUCGAAGGUGCGGGUAUCAAACAGGAUUAGAUACCCUGGUAGUCCGCACAGUAAACGAUGAAUGCCCGCUGUCGGCGACAUAGUGUCGGCGGCCAAGCGAA
rnacentral:rRNA from 1 species